rnacentral:rRNA from 1 species
ACAUGCAGUCAAGGGGCUCAGCAAUGGGCACCGGCGCACGGGUGCGUAACGCGUACACAACCUACCCUUAAGAGGGGGAUAGCGGUGGGAAACUGCCGGUAAUACCCCAUAGCAUUACUGGAUCACCUGGUUUAGUAAUUAAAGUUGAGGCGCUUAAGGAUGGGUGUGCGUCUGAUUAGCUAGUUGGUGAGGUAACGGCUCACCAAGGCGACGAUCAGUAGGGGGUGUGAGAGCAUGACCCCCCACACGGGUACUGAGACACGGACCCGACUCCUACGGGAGGCAGCAGUAAGGAAUAUUGGACAAUGGACGGAAGUCUGAUCCAGCCAUGCCGCGUGAAGGAUGAAGGCGCUCAGCGUUGUAAACUUCUUUUGGAUAGGAACAAACCUCCCGAUGCGUUGGGAGCUGAGGGUACUAUCAGAAUAAGCACCGGCUAACUCCGUGCCAGCAGCCGCGGUAAUACGGAGGGUGCAAGCGUUAUCCGGAAUCACUGGGUUUAAAGGGUGCGUAGGCGGUGGCGUAAGUCAGUCGUGAAAUUCCCCGGCUUAACCGGCGGGCGUGCGAUUGAUACUGCGUUACUUGAAUUAGGUUGAGGUAGGCGGAAUGCGACAUGUAGCGGUGAAAUGCAUAGAUAUGUCGUAGAACACCGAUUGCGAAGGCAGCUUGCUGGACCUAAAUUGACGCUGAGGCACGAAAGCGU